rnacentral:rRNA from 1 species
GACAGAGGGUGCAAACGUUUGUUCGGAUUUACUGGGCGUAAAGCGCGUGUAGGCGGCUUUACAAGUCGGAUGUGAAAGCCCACGGCUCAACCGUGGAAGUGCAUCCGAAACUGUAUCGCUGGAGUCCCGGAGAGGAAGGUGGAAUGCUUGGUGUAGAGGUGAAAUUCGUAGAUAUCAAGCAGAACACCUGCGGCGAAGGCGGCCUUCUGGACGGUGACUGACGCUGAGACGCGAAAAGCGUGGGGGAAGCAAACA